CCUACGGGAGGCAGCAGUGGGGAAUUUUGGACAAUGGGCGCAAGCCUGAUCCAGCAAUGCCGCGUGAGUGAAGAAGGCCUUCGGGUUGUAAAGCUCUUUUGUCAGGGAAGAAACGGUCUACUCUAAUACAGUGGGCUAAUGACGGUACCUGAAGAAUAAGCACCGGCUAACUACGUGCCAGCAGCCGCGGUAAUACGUAGGGUGCAAGCGUUAAUCGGAAUUACUGGGCGUAAAGCGUGCGCAGGCGGUUAUAUAAGUCAGAUGUGAAAUCCCCGGGCUCAACCUGGGAACUGCAUUUGAGACUGUAUGGCUAGAGUGUGUCAGAGGGGGGUAGAAUUCCACGUGUAGCAGUGAAAUGCGUAGAUAUGUGGAGGAAUACCGAUGGCGAAGGCAGCCCCCUGGGAUAACACUGACGCUCAUGCACGAAAGCGUGGGGAGCAAACAGGAUUAGAUACCCUGGUAGUCCACGCCCUAAACGAUGUCUACUAGUUGUCGGGACUUAAUUGUCUUGGUAACGCAGCUAACGCGUGAAGUAGACCGCCUGGGGUAAGGUAGGUCGNGAGAGUUAAACUUACAANAGAGUUGAGGCGNGAGAGNGCGACGGACGACGACGAGGAGGAGG
rnacentral:rRNA from 1 species